rnacentral:rRNA from 1 species
AUUGAACGCUGGCGGCAGGCCUAACACAUGCAAGUCGAGCGCUGACGAGCGGGUGAGUAACACGUGGGUGACCUGCCCUGCACUUCGGGAUAAGCCUGGGAAACUGGGUCUAAUACCGGAUAGUGUGGGAUGGGCCCGCGGCCUAUCAGCUUGUUGGUGGGGUAAUGGCUACCAAGGCGCGACGGGUAGCCGGCCUGAGAGGGUGGACGGCCACAUUGGGACUGAGACACGGCCCAGACUCCUACGGGAGGCAGCAGUGGGGAAUAUUGCACAAUGGGCGCAAGCCUGAUGCAGCCAUGCCGCGUGUAUGAAGAAGGCCUUAGGGUUGUAAAGUACUUUCAGCGGGGAGGCGUUACCCGCAGAAGAAGCACCGGCUAACUCCGUGCCAGCAGCCGCGGUAAUUC